GCGGCUGGACGAGGCUCAGCUUUUGACAGGCCAACUUGAGACAUGUUUGAUGCAACGGAGAAUGGUGCAAGUCUAACUUGCUUCCAGGCUGAAGCUUCAGAAAGGGACAAUGGGUUGAUGAUGCAGACCCUAUUGACAGUGACCCAGAAUUUGGAGGUCUCAGAAAUACUGAAGACCACAAAAGCACCAGAGGUCUCAGAGGAUGUGAAGGUCUCAAAAGCCCCAAGGAUCUCAAAAGCCACAGAAGUCUCAAAGACUCCAAAGGCUCAGGAGGCAGCUGCUACCCAGGCCUCGCCUACCACUCAGCUAACUGACACCCAGGUUCUAACAGCUGAAAACAAGAGUCCAACAGCUGACACCAAGAAACAGAAUCCUGACCUGCAGCCUGCCACUGAGACUAAAAAGGUCAGCUGUGUGGCUGAUACGAAAGUCAAUACAAAGGCCACAGACUGAGGCUAUUGUCUCUCAGACUCCAGCAGAUGAACCUAAACCUGAGAGCACAGCUCCCCAGGCACAGGAGAAUCCAGAUACUUGGCCCAAGAUCAAGGCCAAGAAAGCCCGAAAGGUGAAACAUCUGGAUGGAGAAGAGGAUGGCAGCAGUGAUCAGAGUCAGAGUUCUGGAAUUACAGGUGGCCAAAGGGUCUCAAAGGCCUUAAUGGGCUCAAUGGAUCACCAGGGCUUCAAGGGGUCCCAUAGCCUUUAGGGCCCACAGGGCAUCAAGGACUCAGUUGGCUGCUUGAGCACGGAGAGCCUUGCUCUCCCUGAGGUCGCCUAAAGCCCAUAGGAGCAAGGCUCAGUGUAGAGCUGCCAAACUGCAGGCAUCCUAAGAGCCUGAAGCACCACCAGCUCGGGAUAUGGCCCUCUUGCAAGGGAGGGCAAAUGAUUUGGUGAAGUAUCUAUUGGCCAAAGACCAAACAAAGAUUCCCAUCAAGCACUCAGACAUGCUGAAGGACAUCAUCAAAGAAUACACUGAUGUAUACCCUGAAAUCAUUGAACGAGCAGGCUAUUCCUUGAAGAAGAUAUUUGGGAUUCAGUUGAAGGAAAUUGAUAAGAAUGACCACUUGUACAUUCUUCUCAGCACCUUAGAGCCCACUAAUGCAGGCAUACUGGGAACAACUAAAGACUCACCCAAGCUAGGUCUCCUUAUGGUGCUCAUGAAUGGAAAUCAGUCCAGUGAGGCUGUCAUCUGGGAAGUGCUAUGCAAGUUGGGGCUGCGCCCUGGGAUACAUCACUCCUUUUUUGGGGAUGUGAAGAAGCUCAUUACUGAUGAGUUUGUGAAGCAGAAGUACCUGCACUACUAUGCCAGAGUCCCUAAUAGAAAUCCCCCUGAAUAUGAGUUCUUCUGUGGCCUGAGCUCAUAUUAUGAGACCAGCAAGAUGGAAGUCCUGAAGUUUGCCUGCAAGGUACAAAAGAAUGAGCCCAAGGAAUGGGCAGCUCAGUACCAAGAGGCAAUAUAAGCAGAUUUUAAGGCUGCAGCUGAAGCCAAGGUAAAGGCCGAGAUUAGAGCUCAAAUAGGCAUUGGGCUUGGCUCGGAGAAUGCUGCCGGACCUUGCAACUGGGAUGAAGCUGAUAUUGGACCCUGGGCCAAAGCCCAGAUUCAGGCGGGAGCUGAAGCUAAAGCCAAAGCCCAAGAGAGUGGUGAUGCCCGUACUGGUGCUGGCACUCUCACAUUUGGGCUCUUUGCUGGCCUCAGUGGAGCUGGUACCAGCAACAGUGGAAGCUCUGGUGCAUGUGGUUUCUCCUACAAGUGAGAUUUCAGACACUGUUAAUCCCAGCAGUCUUUCUCUUCAAGCCAGGGUGCAUCCUCAAAAUCCUGCUCAACACAGCACUCAAGGCAGCCAUUAUCAAUCACUUGAAGUUGAUACUCUGCAUUAAAUCUAUUUGCCAUU